rnacentral:rRNA from 1 species
GAUGAACGCUGGCGGCGUGCCUAAUACAUGCAAGUCGAGCGAACGGACCAGACGUUUGCGUCUCUGAUGUUAGCGGCGGACGGGUGAGUCACACGUGGAUAACCUACCUAUUAGACUGGGAUACCUACGGGAAACCGUAACUAAUACCGGAUGAUAUUUUGAACAGCAUGGUGCAAGCGUGAAAGACGCUCUUUCGGUCACUUAAAGAUCGCCCCGCGUUGAAUUCGCUAGUGGGUAAGGUAACGGCUUACCAAGGCAAGGAUGCAUAGCCGACCUGAGAGGGAGAUCAGCCAGACUGGCAGUGAGACAGAGUCCAGACUCCGACGGGAGGCAGCAGUAGGGAAUCUUACGCAAUGGGGGAGAGCCUGACGGAGCAACGUGGCGUGAGUGAUGAAGGUCUUCGGAUCGUAAAACUCUGUUAUUAGGAAAGAACAUAUGUGUAAGUAACUGUGCACAUAUUGACGGUACCUAAUCAGAAAGCCACGGCUAACUACGUG